AGAGUUUGAUCCUGGCUCAGGACGAACGCUGGCGGCGUGCCUAACACAUGCAAGUCGAACGAAGCUCCCCGAUACAAGGCUUCGGCCAAGUUGAAGGGAUGACUUAGUGGCGGACGGGUGAGUAACGCGUGAGGAACCUGCCUUUCAGUGGGGGACAACAGUUGGAAACGACUGCUAAUACCGCAUAAUGUAUUCUGACCGCAUGAUCGGAAUACCAAAGAUUUAUUGCUGAAAGAUGGCCUCGCGUCUGAUUAGAUAGUUGGUGAGGUAACGGCCCACCAAGUCGACGAUCAGUAGCCGGACUGAGAGGUUGAACGGCCACAUUGGGACUGAGACACGGCCCAGACUCCUACGGGAGGCAGCAGUGGGGAAUAUUGCGCAAUGGGGGCAACCCUGACGCAGCAACGCCGCGUGCAGGAAGAAGGUCUUCGGAUUGUAAACUGUUGUCGCAAGGGAAGAAGACAGUGACGGUACCUUGUGAGAAAGUCACGGCUAACUACGUGCCAGCAGCCGCGGUAAUACGUAGGUGACAAGCGUUGUCCGGAUUUACUGGGUGUAAAGGGCGCGUAGGCGGACUGUCAAGUCAGUCGUGAAAUACCGGGGCUUAACCCCGGGGCUGCGAUUGAAACUGACAGCCUUGAGUAUCGGAGAGGAAAGCGGAAUUCCUAGUGUAGCGGUGAAAUGCGUAGAUAUUAGGAGGAACACCAGUGGCGAAGGCGGCUUUCUGGACGACAACUGACGCUGAGGCGCGAAAGUGUGGGGAGCAAACAGGAUUAGAUACCCUGGUAGUCCACACCGUAAACGAUGGAUACUAGGUGUAGGAGGUAUCGACCCCUUCUGUGCCGCAGUUAACACAAUAAGUAUCCCACCUGGGGAGUACGACCGCAAGGUUGAAACUCAAAGGAAUUGACGGGGGCCCG
rnacentral:rRNA from 1 species